rnacentral:rRNA from 1 species
AACGAACGCUGGUGGCGUGUUUAAGACAUGCAAGUCGCACGGAACCAUUUGAGUAGUAAUACGAGAAUGGUUCAGUGGCGCACGGGUGAGUAACAUGUGAAUUACAUGCCCUUCAGUGGGGAACAGCCCAGGGAAACUUGGAUUAAUACCCCAUGGUAUCGCGAGAUUAAAGGUGACCGCAAGUCUGUCGCUGAAGGAUUGGUUCGCACCCUAUCCGCUUGUUGGCGAGGUAACGGCUCACCAAGGCUACGACGGGUACCUGGUCUGAGAGGACGUGCAGGCACACUGGAACUGAGACACGGUGCAGCAACCUACGGGUGGCAGCAGGCGAGAAUAAUGCACAAUGGGCGCAACCCUGAUGGUGCAACGCCGCGUGGAGGAUGACGGGCUUCGGAUUGUAAACUCCUGUCAUCCGGGAGUAAGCCCUGGGAGUUAACAGCUCACAGGGUUGAUAGUACCGGAAGAGGAAGGGACGGCUAACUUCGUGCCAGCAGCCGCCGUAAAAC